CACUCGAUCCUCAGGACUCCAAGAUCAAGCCCAGAGCAGUUGCCCACUCUUCCUUGCCAAUGCGGAGGAAGCCCUGGAACCCCAACGCUGUGCUCCAGCCCAGGGUCCAUCCUUGGGGCACCCCCGUCCUCUCGGCAUGGAGCACCGAACAAUCCUAACCAGAUGCAAAAAUCAAUGGCAGAAGAAAAGACAGAGCAGAGCAACCUUCUGAGCAGAAUGUGAGCGAGGAGAGUGGCUUUAAAAAGGCCUCAACAGACUGUCUGGGGUGCAGCUUGUAAAGUGGAGAAUAAAUGACUUUUUUUU